ensembl:lncRNA
CUUGAAGUUUCCUACUUUCCUUUUGUGUCAUUUCUAUAAAUAUCAGAAUAAAAAAAAUGUGUGUUUUCUGUUUAAAAAGUACAAACAUGGCAGCUGAGAGAUGCGUAGUUUGUUGACCGAGCUUUGUGUAGCCGUGUCUGUGAACAGAUGACGGGCCGAAGUGUUGGAGGCUCAGUGAAGACUGAUGUCAGGUGUCCCGUAACUCAACAGUUACAGACGAACCUCCUUUUUGUCUCCAGUGAUCGUCUCGGCACCUCCAGACAAAACCGUUCUUGAGAUUUGGGCUCCUGCACGAAGCGCUCCAUCUUGUGCAUGACUGGUGGUUGAGCUGUCUGUGUGCCAUAAUGUAAAGGCCACUAUUCCUGUCAUCCCGGUGAUUUAUUACCCAGCCAGGAGCCCUGCGGCCGGGUCCCCAGGGCCACAGGAGUCGCAUCACAUGGACAACAGCACAAUAUUGCCCCGCUACGCUUCACUGAUGCCAGCUGACACAUGAAUCUGUCUGUUGACACCCUGGCAUUAUGUUGGAAACCUUGCAGACUGGUUUACGCACAACAAUCAAGUCAAGGAGUGGAGGCAGAGGGGCUGUCAUUGUCCAGGGAUGUGAACCUGCAACCUUUUCAAUUUCACCCCGCGCUUCAAAGCUCUUCCGCCUGGACGAUCGCACGUCCUGGACAAAGCUCCACAUCUGCCACCAUGCAGCCGCCACCAGCAAGCUGUGAUGUCAUUCCUCAUGUGCACUGGUUCCACUGGGGUCCCAGCUGCGUGGUCAAUGUGCUGGAGAGACCAUGUGUGUGUCUUCACACAUGCUGCUUUCAUUUUUGUGCAAUGAGCCACGCUGCUACACUUUUAGCUUCCAGUCUUGAUUUAUUGCGACAUCCUUGUGUUUUUCCAACCGGACGUUCACUUUGCUCUCCCGACAUCUCCUCCCCCACUCCUCUGCUGCAUUAGAGGAAACCUGCAACCUGAUAUUCUGUCAUUAUAGCAGCAAUAUCUACACAACAUUAAGCAAAUUACAUCCGGCUGGCAACACGUUCCAGCGUCUAAGCAUACCUCAAGGCGUGGCAGGUGGCCUCGCAUCGAUCAAACGCAGCACUGCCAAGAUGUGUCUGCAGGAAGAGGAACAUGGCUGCUCCUGGUGAUUGUGUUUCUGUAGCAGCUCUGCAUUCCCAUUGGAAUGGCUUGAUGAUGUCGACGGUGCAUCGGUAUUGAAAAAAUGAAGAUGCACCUUUUUGGUUGUAUGUUUUGCACGUGUAAAUGUGGCGGUACAGCAGUACAACAUUAUUUAAUCUGCACAAACCCUGGAGUAACUGCAUCAUCUGUGGGAAUAAUGUAUGUAUUACCUGCAGCAUCAAGCAAAACACAGCCUUUGGUGUCUCCGGACAUAUGUAUAAAUAUAUUCUUCAGUUGGUGCUGCACAUGCUCCACGUGCGUGUGCAAGAGAUGAUAAUAAGAGAUUCUACUUGAAACCCAGCAAUAUCAAGAAACAAUCAACAAAUGUAUUGCUAGCGUAGGUGUUGUCCACUCUACACUUACUGUGAAAAAUCACGCACACAGCGAGCACAUGACAAACACCUUUUGGAGACGCCGUGGCAUUUCUACUGUUAUUGCUUCUUUCUCUGCGAGCGGAGCCCUGGGAUUACCAUCCGUACAAAUUAAAAACAAAUAAAGGCUGAAGAGGGAAACACAAGGCAAAGAUCUGGAUCUAUUAUGCUCUGAUUUAUGGACCACUGAUCCGUAGCAGGUUGGGUCAGUGAGCUGGUGAGUGUGCAUUCUAGCAGCCUCAUUGCCAACUCACCUGCCAGUCAAUAACCUAUUUAGUUUAGUGUCACAGCCUAUAUGGGAAAAGCAUAUUGACAAGCUGCAGAAUACACCUUCAAGAGGCCCCCAGCUGCAAGUGGCAGAUAAACUGCUUUUGAAAAAUUCAUUCUUUCACUGCCCCUGAGUCCUUAAAUUAUUAAAGCAACAAGCAACCCCCCCUCAAUGAAGUAAGGGUGGAAACUUAUAGUUGAGGAGUAUAGUUGUCCCUCUCCGGCCUUUAUGAGGACAGAAGGGAAGAGAGGACAUUUAAUAAAGUGUGCUUUAGACCAGGGGUAGCCAACGCGGUGCCCCGCGGGCACUUGGUCGCCCGCAGAGCAUGUUCUAAAAAUAGCACUAGUCACCAUGGAGCUCCGUCUAAAAUGUGUAUUUAAUUGUUUUUCAAUUAAACAAAAAAAUCAAUAACACUUGAAUUAUUCUUUAUUUUAAAAUGACAAUAUUGAAUAAAGAAUUUAAAAAACAAAAAUGUUUUAUGUACAUAUCUACAGGGUCUCUAUUUCCCUUAUCGCUGCGACAAGCUAGCGGGAGCAGCUACGAUGGGGCGCUAGGUGCGUUU